UAAUUAUGAGAUGUUGAUUUUUUUUAGAUAUAUAUUAGAUGUUGAGUUUAUUUGAAAUAUGAGAUGUUGAUUUACUUGAACACAUAUGACAUACUAGAUAUAUAUGAGAAUUUACAAUCAUUUGAGAUGAACUCAUAUAUGUUUAUUUGGGAUGAACUCAUAUAUGUUCAUUGUUUGAACUUUGUAAGGAUGGUUUGGCUUCUCGACAAUGCCAUUGACACACAACACCGGGCCUGCAUGAUGCGCGAGAAGGGGCUGGUAAUAAUGAGUAAUCCAAAUAUUUAGCAAAUUUGCCUUUAGUUGAAAUUGACAUGCCCUAAGAUUUGUCAUUACUUUUUUUUGUAGAAGCUUGAACCUCUGAAGAUUCGGUAUCACGGGGUCUCUGGUCCUGCCAUGCCUUACGAUGAGCGGUACACACUGUACAUCAAGCAGGCAGGACCACUCCUGUGGAUUCAGUUGGUCAGCCGGUCGACGCCGAAUCUGAACGAUCCACUGGUGUCCGCUCUUGUUGAUCGGUGGAGGCCGGAGACGCACAGUUUCCAUCUUCGGACUGGGGAGAUGACCGUGACGCUCGAGGAUGUCUCGUUGAUCACCGGUCUUGCUAUCAACGGGAUGCCUCUCUGUAUGAGCACCGAUUCUGAUGGGUGGCGCGAGCAGAUGAUUGCUCUUAUCGGUAAGGCUCCUACCGAGGCUGAGGCUGAUGUAGAGGAGGGAGAAGAGCCGAAGAAGAAGGAAAGGAAAGCAGCCGACGCUGCUUUCACGUGGAUUCAAGCAAACUUUGCGCAUUGCCCUGCGGAUGCCACUGAUGAUGUGAUACAGACACAUGCUCGUGUCUAUAUGUGGUACGUUGUCUCGAGGACUUUGUUUCCUGACUCCACGGGCAAGAACGCUCCAUGGAUGUGGCUGAAGGCGUUGACCGUCUUCGAUAGCAAAUGGAGCUGGGGUUCAGCGAUUCUUGCGUACUUGUACCGACAGGUAGUUGGUUUGUUUUGUUAUCAACUCAUUUGUUCAUUACCAAUGCAACCUUGUUGUCAACUUAACAUUGUUUUUCUUUCAUAUGCAGCUGGACGAUGCGUGUUGCAGGAUCACAGAUAGGGCAGGCAUUGGUGGUAAUAUGCUUCUACUUUCUGUAUGGAGCUGGGAGCGUCUGCCUGUUGGACGCCCGAAGAGCGUCAGGUUUAAUCCUUGGUAUGAAGAUGAAGAUGACGACUUACGGCGCCCCACUUGGGCUUACAAGUGGGAUGUGGUUUCCGAGAUGAUGAACGAUGUCAAUCUCAUGUACCAAAAGUACAUUGCCGAGUUGGACACGAUUACGCCUGAGCAGGUGGAAUGGCAGCCAUAUGGCGCCGAUGACAGACUUGGGUACACCCCGGAGUUUUCCAUCAACCCGAUGUGCUUGCGGGAUAGGGAUCUCUGGCUUAUGCGGUGCCCACUGAUAUGCAACUGGGCUGUUGAGUUUCAUUUGCCACAUCGCGUGUUUCGUCAGUUUGGUCUGUU